rnacentral:tRNA from 1 species
GGGCCUAUAGCUCAGUUGGUUAGAGCACGAGCCUCUUAAGCUUGGUGUCCCGGGUUCAAGUCCCGGUGGGCCCUCCA